rnacentral:rRNA from 1 species
GAUUGUAGUAUCGCAUGAUAUAGCAAUUAAAGGAGCAAUUCGCUAUAAGAUGGACCCGCGUCGCAUUAGCUAGUUGGUGAGGUAAUGGCUCACCAAGGCGACGAUGCGUAGCCGACCUGAGAGGGUGAUCGGCCACAUUGGGACUGAGACACGGCCCAGACUCCUACGGGAGGCAGCAUG